AUUGAACGCUGGCGGCAGGCUUAACACAUGCAAGUCGAGCGGGGAAGGGUAGCUUGCUACCUGACCUAGCGGCGGACGGGUGAGUAAUGCUUAGGAAUCUGCCUAUUAGUGGGGGACGACAUUCCGAAAGGAAUGCUAAUACCGCAUACGCCCUACGGGGGACAGCAGGGGAUCUUCGGACCUUGCGCUAAUAGAUGAGCCUAAGUCAGAUUAGCUAGUUGGUGGGGUAAAGGCCUACCAAGGCGACGAUCUGUAGCGGGUCUGAGAGGAUGAUCCGCCACACUGGGACUGAGACACGGCCCAGACUCCUACGGGAGGCAGCAGUGGGGAAUAUUGGACAAUGGGCGCAAGCCUGAUCCAGCCAUGCCGCGUGUGUGAAGAAGGCCUUUUGGUUGUAAAGCACUUUAAGCGAGGAGGAGGCUACUGAGAUUAAUACUCUUGGAUAGUGGACGUUACUCGCAGAAUAAGCACCGGCUAACUCUGUGCCAGCCGCCGCAGUAA
rnacentral:rRNA from 1 species